UACGUAGGUGGCAAGCGUUGUCCGGAUUUACUGGGCGUAAAGAGCGCGCAGGCGGUCGUUUAAGUCGAAUGUGAAAGCCCCCGGCUCAACUGGGGAUGGUCAUUCGAUACUGAUCGACUUGAAGGCAGGAGAGAGAAGUGGAAUUCCCGGUGUAGUGGUGAAAUGCGUAGAUAUCGGGAGGAACACCAGUGGCGAAGGCGACUACCUGGCCUGUUCUUGACGCUGAGGCGCGAAAGCUAGGGGAGCAAACGGG
rnacentral:rRNA from 1 species